rnacentral:rRNA from 1 species
AGUGACUCUGUUCAACGGCCGCGGUAUCCUAACCGUGCGAAGGUAGCGUAAUCACUUGUUCUUUAAAUGAGGACUAGUAUGAAUGGCACCACGAAGGUUAUACUGUCUCCUUUUUUUAAUCAGUGAAACUAAUCUUCCCGUGAAGAAGCGGGAAUAAAACUAUAAGACGAGAAGACCCUAUGGAGCUUUAAGCAACACGGCAUUUGUCUAAAAAUUAAAAUAUUUCAGAAUACUUUAACUUUCAUAAACAUAAUACUGUAAGUUUUCGGUUGGGGUGACCACGGAGCACAAUAUAACCUCCAUGUUGAAAGAAAUAUUUCUAAACUAAGAAUCACCAGUCAAAGCAUCAACAUAUUGACAUCCAUUGACCCAAUAUAAUUGACCAACGAACCAAGUUACCCUAGGGAUAACAGCGCAAUCCACUUCAAGAGCCCCUAUCGACAAGUGGGUUUACGACCUCGAUGUUGGAUCAGGGUAUCCCAGUGGUGCAGCCACUACUAAAGGUUCGUUUGUUCAACGAUUAAAACCCUACGUGAUCU